UACGAAGGGGGGCUAGCGUUGCUCGGAAUCACUGGGCGUAAAGGGUGCGUAGGCGGGUCUUUAAGUCAGGGGUGAAAUCCUGGAGCUCAACUCCAGAACUGCCUUUGAUACUGAGGAUCUUGAGUACGGGAGAGGGUGAGUGGGAACUGCGAGUGUAGAGGUGAAAUUCGUAGAUAUUCGCAAGAACACCAGUGGCGGAAGGCGGCUCACUGGCCCGUUACUG
rnacentral:rRNA from 1 species